UACAAGAAACCGUGUACCGGUACAAGGGCACCCGAACAGCAGGGUUAGUUUGAAAAAUAGAAAAGUCGAGGGGCUCUUUUGGAUAUUGUUACAAUAGAGUGUUUUAACCCCUCUCUAAGCCAUUCUCUCUCACUCUCUCACUCUCUCUCCCUCUCAUUUAGCUCUCUCUCUCUCUAACCAUGAGAAGAAGAAAGAAGGAGAAGAAGAAAGAAGGAGAGAAAGAAAGAGAAGAAGAAGGAGAAAGGAAAGAGAAGGUUAAGGAGAAGAAGAAGAAGCUCUUCCUCCUCCUCAUU
rnacentral:lncRNA from 1 species